AUGAUACUCCCUCUGUCUCAAAAUUAUUGUCUUAUAUUUGUCUAGAUAUCAAUAUAUCUAGUUACGUUUUAGUAUCUACAUGAAUCCAUAUUUAAAAAAAUAUAGGACAAUUUUUUGGGACGGAGGGAGUAUAUA
rfam:Hordeum vulgare subsp. vulgare, WGS project CAJW01000000 data, contig: morex_contig_6846